rnacentral:SRP_RNA from 10 species
GCCAGGCAUGGUGGUGGCCCCUGUAGUCCCAGCUACUCAUGAGGCUGAGGCAGGAAAAUCGCGGGAGUCCAGGAGGUCUGGGCUGUAGUGCGUUAUGCAGAUCAAGUGUCCACAUUGAGUCAAGCAUCAAACAUGGUGACUUCCUGGGAGCAGGGCACCAGCAUGUUGCCUAAGGAGGGGUGAACCAGUUAAGGUAAGAAACAGAGCAGGUGAAAACUCCUGUGGUGAUGAGUGGUGGGAUUGCGGCUAUGAAUAGCUACUACACUUCUGCCUGGGCAAUAUAGUAAGAUUCCUCUC